UACCUCUGCCAAUUCAAGAACGUUAGGGUGCGGAAUCACAAAUCGAACAGGAUCGUUAAACAUGUGCAUAUUUAGCUUCGUUGUUAGUGGCUCUCACUUCCAAUUGGGUUUUCUUUUAUAGCUUAGAACUUUACCCCUAAAAAAAAGUUUUUGUUUUUUGAUAUUGAAAAACGAUGAGGAUGAAGAAUCAUGUGUGUUGCAGAUCCUGGUCCAAUAACUGCCCGGUUAAUUACCGUAGGUGGUUAUUGGUUGCUGGAUUUGAUGUUUUUUCCCUUACUCAUCUGAGAUCUUCUUUAUCAAUUUAUUUAUUUUUCGAAAAAAAAAUGUCAAUUUUUCUCAUGAAUUGUCAUGUUAAAUAGAUUUUUUUUGGUGUCGUGGUAGGAGAAAUAGAAGUAUUUAUUUAUAUUUAAAUUAUGAGAAAAAGGGUUAUGCAUGGGACAGUGGUAGAAAGUGAUGAAUAAUGCAGGUACUUCUGAUGGCACGUCUAGCGUUGUUCUCUUGGUGCAGCCAAUGUGGCUGUGCCGAGCUUCUGCACUGUGUCUGCGUGAAUUACACUAACAUCUGCCACUGAUUUAUUCACUGUCCCAAGUUGUUGUUGCUCAUGUCAAUAGGCAAUCUCAAAUUGUGCUAUUCUUUUUUAGUAAAUAGAAUUUGUACAAUCACAAUAUGUACCUACCUUGAAAUUUAUGAUUUUAAUUUUUAUAUUUUUUAAAAUAUAUGAAAUGUUCAAGGAUAAAACCUAUUUGAUAAGUGUGCGUAUGGAUGAAAGUAAGAAUUCAAUUGCAAAGGUUUUACAAUGAUGGGAACCCCAGUCCUCCAUUGAAAUUUUUUGGACCUUUCAUAGCAUUACUUCAUGCUAGGUGCCUUUGUAGUUUAUUGAAUCCUAAAGAAAACAACUUGGUCAUCUUCUUUACAAUCCUGCUACUACUGAAUAGUCUGAGUCAAAAGAAGAAAUUGAACACAAACAUAUUGGAUUCCUCUCUGAUAUUGCAGGUCCAAAGGGUACCCAGCUGGAAUUUUUUUUGUGGAGCCUUUGGAUGCAUUACAUGCAGGUCCUUUGGUCGGUGCAAUAGCAAUUCUUCAAGGUGCUAGCUAGCAAAGGAACUGAGAUUGUUAUUCCAACUGAUGUUCUUGCUUGGGGAGAAUUUGGAUUUGUUGAAGGGCUUAUGAAGUGGUGUUAUAGAGUGAUAUAAUUGGAAAGAAAAUAACAGUACUUACAGCAAUUAGAAGAUUUGCUGCUGAGUUUGCAGCAGCUUAUGUGGUUUUGUUUGCUUCAAAGAUGAAGCUACCAAUCUCAGCCAGUCAAAUGACAUGUUGUACAAUUAACUUGCUAUUUGAUCAAACUGUAUGACAAGCUGGUUUUGUUGGAGUUUCGGUUGAUGAUGCUAAGUGGGAUUAAUUUUCGA